UACGUAGGCAGCGAGCGUUGUUCGGAGUUACUGGGCGUAAAGAGUGCGUAGGCGGUUUUCUAAGUUUGGUGUGAAAUCCCCGGGCUCAACCCGGGAACUGCGUCCGAUACUGGAAGGCUUGAAUCCGGGAGAGGGAUGUGGAAUUCCAGGUGUAGCGGUGAAAUGCGUAGAUAUCUGGAGGAACACCGGUGGCGAAGGCGACAUCCUGGACCGGUAUUGACGCUGAGGCGCGAAAGCCAGGGGAGCAAACGGG
rnacentral:rRNA from 1 species